ensembl:piRNA 21ur-6486 ncRNA
UUUUCAAGAAUAAAUUUCAGA